rnacentral:rRNA from 1 species
GACGAACGCUGGCGGCGUGCUUAACACAUGCAAGUCGAACGAUGAAGCCGGAGCUUGCUCUGGUGAAUUAGUGGCGAACGGGUGAGUAACACGUGAGUAACCUGCCCUUGACUCUGGGAUAACUGCUAGAAAUGGUAGCUAAUACCGGAUACGACCCUCGGAGGCAUCUUCAGGGGGUGGAAAGAAUUUCGGUCAAGGAUGGACUCGCGGCCUAUCAGCUAGUUGGUGAGGUAAUGGCUCACCAAGGCGACGACGGGUAGCCGGCCUGAGAGGGUGCCCGGACACACAGGGACUGAGACACGGCCCAGACUCCUACGGGAGGCAGCAGUGGGGAAUAUUGCACAAUGGGCGCAAGCCUGAUGCAGCAACGCCGCGUGAGGGAUGACGGCCUUCGGGUUGUAAACCUCUUUUAGUAGGGAAGAAGCGAAAGUGACGGUACCUGCAGAAAAAGCACCGGCUAACUACGUGCCAGCCGCCGCCGUAA